rnacentral:rRNA from 1 species
GUGCCUACGGGAGGCAGCAGUGGGGAAUAUUGGGCAAUGGGCGCAAGCCUGACCCAGCGACGCCGCGUGAGGGAUGACGGCCCUACGGGUUGUAAACCUCUUUUGCCGGGGAGCAAAGAGCGGGACGCGUCCCGCCUCGAGAGUACCCGGAGAAAAAGCAUCGGCUAACUCCGUGCCAGCAGCCGCGGUAAUACGGAGGAUGCGAGCGCUAUCCGGAUUUAUUGGGUUUAAAGGGUGCGCAGGCGGAAGCGCAAGUCAGCGGUAAAAUUGAGAGGCUCAACCUCUUCCCGCCGCUGAAACUGCGU